GGUAAGUGGAAAUCCCACCAACUUCAAAGCUAUCCUGUGAAACCACAAAUAAUGGCUUUGGUGACCUCUUGAUCAUGGUUGCCUACCAUUUUGCACGCAGAGGCAUACAUGGUUAUGUGUUUCAUAGUGUCUAAUAUCUGUUGUUCAGAUAAUCCAUCUAUAUUCCAAUUUACUAUUGAUCUUUCUGAAUAGGAAAUAUUCUGGGCUACCAAAUCUUCUUCGAAUUGUAUAUCAACAGGGGUAGGUCUAUGAUGAUAGGGCCUAGCUGUUAAAGGUUUCCAUGAUUUUUCAUAUACUAUUUUUUGAAUAUUAUUAUUAUCUUGUUCAUGACUAUUUUCCGUAAAGGCUUCUUCCAUAUUUUCUAUUGUGUUGG
rnacentral:lncRNA from 1 species